UCCGAUUUGUCACCGGCAGUCUCCCUAGAGUCCCCAACUUAAUGCUGGCAACAUAGGACGGGGGUUGCGCUCGUUGCGGGACUUAACCCAACAUCUCACGACACGAGCUGACGACAGCCAUGCAGCACCUGUCUCUCGGCUCCCGAAGGCACCCCCACAUCGCUGUAGGGUUCCGAGGAUGUCAAGACCAGGUAAGGUUCUUCGCGUUGCAUCGAAUUAAACCACAUGCUCCACCGCUUGUGCGGGUCCCCGUCAAUUCCUUUGAGUUUUAAUCUUGCGACCGUACUCCCCAGGCGGAUGACUUCACGCGUUAGCUGCGUUACUAAGGGAUUUAACUCCCCCAACAACUAGUCAUCAUCGUUUAGGGCGUGGACUAC
rnacentral:misc_RNA from 1 species